rnacentral:lncRNA from 1 species
CAUAUUCCUUGCAAAAAAGAAAAAGUCCUCGACGUGAGGCAGUUCAUAGAGUUAAACGUCAACGAAUGGCCGCGUUGACCUAACUUAGUUAUUCACUUACUGACUGACGACGCUUUGAAAGCGCGCGGUACCAGCAGCAGCGCUCGGCUCGGCUCGGCUCAGCCUCCGCUCUCUCACAAGGGAAGUUUCGGUCCUCCUUUUCUGCCCACUCGCUCUUUAAAAGCGGUCGGAUUCUCCGCGAGAGGACACUCACUGCGACAGCAUGGAUGUAGAGAAGGCGAAAGAGGAGACGGAGGGCAGCAGCGUAGCCACGCGAAUGCCGUCCGGGCAGAGCGCGGCGCGGGCCAGGCUGGUGGUGGCUCUCGUGGCGCAGAGCGCGCUCGUGCUGCUGUGCCUCGCGCUGAGCUUCCACAGCUGGGUCACCGCGCGCUCCUUGGUGAAAGACAAAGAUAAGUGGCAACAACAAAGUGACACGGGUGUAUACUUGGACUGGAAAGUGGACAAUGUGCAAUCCCUGAAGUUCCGAACGCACUGGGUCCAAAACAUGAAGGUGAAGAACGAAAGUGAGAUCAUGUUCCCCUGCAGUGGCCCCUACUUGAUGUACCUGUCUUACAGUUUUAAUGGCGAGGAUGAGCAAACUGGCAAUGGCACCCUCAGACUGCUACUUAAAGACAAGUCCCUGAUCACCUUCCAGAUCAAGUCCUCGGGUCAGCAGGAGAAUGCAACAAUUUUAACCUUUAACAAGAACGACGUUGUUUCAGUAUCUUCCAUCGGCCAGUUGUCUGAAUUAGAGUAUCUUCACUUGAGCUUCUACUACAUGCUGGGCACACAGUGCUUUGACUAACUGGCCUGAAUGAGCGCUGGUUCUUGACAUAGUAAUGUUCCAGACCUCUACUCUGAACAUCAGCCUGACAUUACCUACAAAGCCAUUAUGUCAUUAUUAAUAAUCUGGCCUAUGUGCUGAAACUAACGUGGUCUGAAGCAACUUCCUGAAUGUUUCAUGUAUUUAUUAUUAUUAUUAUUAUUAAUUUGGCACUAUUUUUAUUUACCAUCAGAAGAAAUGCUACGUGAUCAUAGCUCUUUGCAGUGUUCUAGACUUAACUGAAAUUUCCUGAAACUCAUAUUUAUUGUUAUUGUGAAUAUUUUGUUUGUUGUGUUACUGUUCAUAGUUUUUAUUCUCACUUUAAUGGGAUCAUUUUUUUUUUUGUUCCACUGACCCACUGAAAUGUGCAUGUCACCUUGUACUUUUAACUUUUUAAAAGAUCUUCCCGGAAAAAAGCUGACAUUUUGACAUUACCUCAGGGAUCUGAUGCACUUUAGUGGCAGGGAGAGGGUGAAGUCUUGAAAGUGGAACUCAGAGAAUUGGGGGUAGGGUGGGUUAGGUGGGGGUCCCCUCAUUACUUAACAAGAAGGAGAAGAUGAAGAGGACUUGCUGGACAAGGCUUCUUUUUGCACAUUCAUCCUAGGUCACUUCUUUGUUUACCCACAGGUCUGCUUUGUUUUGGCCAAGAGUGUUGUAUCAUAACUAAAAAAAACACAGAUAAACUGUGUCUUGACAAACGUGGGAUAUUAAGAAGGAGACAAACUGCCCUUUAUAUGAGGCUUUGUGGAUGCUCGAUUUGUAGAGGUCGUAUGUCCUGUAGUCCAUCUUGUAUGCUGUAUGAAGCUGAUGCUGACAAUGGUUGUUUUCUGUAGGAGUUGGGCCUUCCAGUUUACAGACACAGCACCAGAAUGAACCGCUACUGUUGUUAUUACACAAAUGAGAAUACCCAUAAUUUUAUGAGGCUAGAAAGCCUCAGCUCAGUUUUUUGUGAAGAUCAACAGUAUAAUUAUAAUUACACUGUAUAUCCUGUACUGUAGUAAUGAAGUAUACAUGUUCUGCAGUUAAUCAUACAGAAUGAGAAAUAUUUUUGAAAAACUUCCGACAAAAUGUCUGUAAGUGUGUGCGCUGACUGAAUGUUUUUUCCUCAAAACUCCAUAUGUAAAUGUGGACAUAAGUAUGCUUUAAAGCACUGAUUUAUUAUUACACCAUUUUUGUAUCUACAUAUUACAUGUAUUUGCAUAUCAGUAUUAGUAUUAUUCUGAUUUUUAAUAAACAGAAUUCUUCAUCCA